rnacentral:rRNA from 1 species
UACGGAGGGUGCAAGCGUUAAUCGGAAUUACUGGGCGUAAAGCGCGCGUAGGCGGUUAUUUAAGCUAGAUGUGAAAGCCCAGGGCUUAACCUUGGAAUUGCAUUUAGAACUGGGUAGCUAGAGUAUGGGAGAGGAGUGUGGAAUUUCCGGUGUAGCGGUGAAAUGCGUAGAGAUCGGAAGGAACAUCAGUGGCGAAGGCGACACUCUGGCCCAAUACUGACGCUGAGGUGCGAAAGCGUGGGGAUCAAACAGGAUUAGAUACCCUGGUA